rnacentral:rRNA from 1 species
UGUUAGUGGCAGACGGGUGAGUAAUGCGUAGGAAUCUACCUAGUAGUAUGGAAUAGCCAUUAGAAAUGAUGGGUAAUACUGUAUAAUCCCUGCGGGGGAAAGAUUUAUCGCUAUUAGAUGAGCCUACGUUAGAUUAGCUAGUUGGUAAGGUAAUGGCUUACCAAGGCUAUGAUCUAUAGCUGGUCUGAGAGGACGAUCAGCCACACUGGAAC